rnacentral:rRNA from 1 species
UACAGAGGGUGCGAGCGUUAAUCGGAAUUACUGGGCGUAAAGCGCACGUAGGUGGCGACGUAAGUCGGGUGUGAAAGCCCCGGGCUCAACCUGGGAAUUGCAUUCGAGACUGUGUCGCUGGAGUACGGAAGAGGAAGACGGAAUUCCCGGUGUAGCGGUGAAAUGCGUAGAUAUCGGGAGGAACAUCAGUGGCGAAGGCGGCCUUCUGGUCCAGUACUGACACUCAAGUGCGAAAGCGUGGGGAGCAAACAGG